UCCGGUUGAUCCCGCCGGAGAUCACUGUUAUCAGGGUUCGAUUUAGCCAUGCGAGGCGUGAGUCAUCUGGACUCGCCGCACUGCUCAGUAACACGUAGUUAACCUACUCUUAGGUGGAGGAUAAUCCCGCGAAAGUGGGGCUAAUACUCCAUAGAUCUUGAAUGCUGGAAUGCAUUAAGAUUCAAAGCUCCGGCGCCUAAGAAUGGGACUGCGACCUAUCAGGCUGUAGUGAGCGUAAAAUACUCACUAACCUAUAACGGGUAGGGGCCAUGAGAGUGGAAGCCCCGAGAUGCCUUCUGAGACAUGAAGGCAGGUCCUACGGGACGCAGCAGGCGCGAAAACUUUCCAAUCCAUUAGCGUGGGAGAAGGGAACCUUGAGUGGUUACACACUGUGUAACCUUUUGUACAGUCCAAACAGCUGUGCGAAUAAGUGGUGGGUAAUACAGGUGCCAGCCGCCGCGGUAAUACCUGAGCCACGAAUGGUGAUCACGUUUAUUGGGUCUAAAGCGUCCGUAGCCGGUCUAACAAGUUCUUGGUGAAAUCUGGCAGCAAACUGUCAGGCAUGCUGAGAAUACUACUAAACUUGGAAUCGGGAGGGGUCGGAGGUAUUCCACGUGUAGGGGUUAAAUCCUUUAAUCCGUGGAGGACCACCUGUGGCGAAGGCGUCCGACUAGAACGAGUUCGACGGUGAGGGACGAAAGCGUGGGGAGCAAAUGGGAUUAGAUACCCCAGUAGUCCACGCUGUAAACGAUGCCCGUUUAGUGUCGCAAACCUUACGGGGGUUUGCGGUGCUGGAGCGUAGGUGUUAAACGGGCCACCUGGGGACUACGACCGCAAGGUUGAAACUUAAGGGAAUUGGCGGGGGAGCACACAAGGGGUGGAGGCUGCGGUUCAAUUGGAUUCGACGCCGGGAACCUCACUAGGGUUGACAGCAGAAUGAAGGUCAGUCUAACGGGCUUACCAGACAAGCUGAGAGGAGUUGCAUGGCCAUCGUCAGCUCGUACCGUGAGGCGUGCCGUUAAGUCGGUUAACGAGCGAGACCCACGCUGUCUGUUGCUAUCAUAUUUUAUGGUUGGAGCAAUCCAAUAUAUGAUUUAUGAGCACUCUGGCAGGACCGCUAUUGAUAAAAUAGAGGAAGGUGUGGGCAACGAUAGGUCAGUAUGGCCCGGAUACCCUAGGCUACACGCGGCCUACAAUGGCUAGGACAAUGUGAUGCAACACCGAAAGGUGAAGCCAAUCACCUAAACCUAGUCUCAGUUCGGAUUGAGGAUUGUAACUCAUCCUCAUGAAGCCGGAAUCCCUAGUAAGCGAACGUCAUCAUCGUUCGCUGAAUACGUCCCUGCUCUUUGCACACACUGCCUGUCAAGCCACGCGAGUGGAUUCCUGGUGAGGCCUUGUUUUUUGGCAAGUUCGAACCAGGGGUCCGUGAGUGGGGCUAAGUCAUAACAAGGUA
rnacentral:rRNA from 1 species